UAUAGAAAACGUCUAAAAUGUCAGAAAACUUGGAAUCAACACAUCAAAUAAAAAAACACUUGGGUAGUAAAACGUGUUUCUUCCAGAGUUGUCCGGCGUCUGUUGAACCGCCUUCUGGAGCAAUUCAGCCGUGUCACAUCAGAGAGGCUAUUCGAAGAUACAACUACAGACAUACGAGUGCUUACUGGAGGAGUGGGAUGGCGUUCCUCACCUGCUGAAGAUAUGAAUACCUGUGCCGUUACCUUUUUGUUCCAGUUAUGUAAUAAAGACUUUUCUUUAAGCA